UACGGAGGGGGCUAGCGUUGUUCGGAAUUACUGGGCGUAAAGCACACGUAGGCGGCUUUGCAAGUUAGAGGUGAAAGCCCAGGGCUUAACCCUGGAAUUGCCUUUAAAACUGCAUCGCUAGAAUUGUGGAGAGGUAAGUGGAAUUCCGAGUGUAGAGGUGAAAUUCGUAGAUAUUCGGAAGAACACCAGUGGCGAAGGCGACUUACUGGACACAUAUUGACGCUGAGGUGCGAAAGCGUGGGGGAGCAAACAGG
rnacentral:rRNA from 1 species